rnacentral:rRNA from 1 species
AGCCCUAAGUGGGUGGUAAACUCCAUCUAAGGCUAAAUAUGACCACGAGACCGAUAGCGAACAAGUACCGUGAGGGAAAGUUGAAAAGCACUUUGAAGAGAGAGUUCAAGAGUACGUGAAACCGUUUAGGGGUAAACCUGAGAAACCCGAAAGGUCGAAGGGAGAAAUUCAUUCGCGUUUCGUAGUCGGCGUGAGACGGUCGCGCGACGGGAGGUGCGCGUUCGCGCGCUCUUUCCGCGCCUUCCGUCUUUCGAUCUGUCGACGAACGCGUGCACUUUUCUCCUGGUAGGACGUCGCGAUCCGUUGGGUGUCGGUCUACGGCCCGCGGUGGAGCCCGUUCGUAUGCGGUUCGCGCCGUUACGUUCGGACCCGCGUGUGUCCCGGCUGACUCGCUCGACGGUAUGCGAAAGGUUUAAGGCCGCUGCUUCACGAAGCGUUCGACUCGCGGCAAGCGCGCCAGAUGCGUCGGCGAUCGGACCCGGUGCCGAUUCUGACCUCUGGUGACUGUUGGCCGCGAAGCUCUCGGACAGACCUUAGAACCGAUCUGCGACGCUAUAGCUUUGGGUACUUUCA